rnacentral:rRNA from 1 species
GUGGGGAAUUUUGGACAAUGGGGGCAACCCUGAUCCAGCCAUCCCGCGUGUGCGAUGAAGGCCUUCGGGUUGUAAAGCACUUUUGGCAGGAAAGAAAUCGCACGGGAUAAUACCUCGUGUGGAUGACGGUACCUGCAGAAUAAGCACCGGCUAACUACGUGCCAGCAGCCGCGGUAAUACGUAGGGUGCAAGCGUUAAUCGGAAUUACUGGGCGUAAAGCGUGCGCAGGCGGUUCGGAAAGAAAGAUGUGAAAUCCCAGGGCUUAACCUUGGAACUGCAUUUUUAACUACCGGGCUAGAGUGUGUCAGAGGGGGGUGGAAUUCCGCGUGUAGCAGUGAAAUGCGUAGAUAUGCGGAGGAACACCGAUGGCGAAGGCAGCCCCCUGGGAUAACACUGACGCUCAUGCACGAAAGCGUGGGGAGCAAACAGGAUUAGAUACCCGAGUAGUCC